CGAAACUGUUCCGCCUGGUGCAGACACAAAAACAGAAAACUACCCACAAAACAAAGGUGGGAAAGGCUACCUAAGUAUGGUUCGCAAUCAGAGACAACGAUAGACAGCUGCCUCUGAUUGAGAUCCACACCAGGCCAAACACACAGAAAUAGAAAACAUAGAACACAAAACAAAGAAUGCCCACCCCAAUUGAAUGUCUUUGAUAAUUCAAUGUUUUACACCCAACUUCUAUGUUUUUUAAUUUCAGGAGGUGGUUAAGCCUGCACUGAAGCACUUACAGGAGAAGCUGAAUGUCUUCAAUGACGUUAAACUGACCUGUUUAACGUCAUUGACCUGUUUAACGUCAUGUGAUCGCAGCCACAUUUCCACCCUGUGGAAUUAUGGAUGAUAGACUGGUGACUGAUGUUACUAUCAGAUACAUUAUUGUUUGCUAUCUCCAGAGCCAGGCUCAGCACACAGAGAGGCAAUCAAGGAGGAGUUUGAGAAGCUUCCUUUGUACCUACAAGAGGAAGAGGAGGUCAGGAUAGUUGCAUUAAGGGAGGAAGAGAAGCAGAAGAGUCAGAAGAUUGAGGAGAUGAGCAGAGAGAUAUCAUCACUGUCAGACACAAUCAGAACCAUAGAAGAGGAGCUGGGGCCUAAAACCAUAACAUUCCUACAGCACUACAGUGCCACUUGGAAAGAACCCAGUGCACAUUGCCAGACCGUGAGAGGGUUUCAGGAGGACUGAUUGAUGUGGCAAAGCACAUGGGUAACCUGCAGUAUAGAGUCUGGGAGAAGAUGCAGGCAAGAAUUCAAUACAGUGAGUAUUAGAUACAAUUGAGAUAAAACGUUAACGCCACUAAAAUGUUCCAACACAGAAAACAAGAAAUACACUUAGUGAAUAAAAUGUAUGAUGAAUAAUGAGAUUAUGUCCAUACCUAAAUUUGAUUUAAUUAUGGUAUGUUUGUGUUGUCUCUGUUCAGUUCCAGUGACUCUAGACCCCAACACUGCAAACUCAUAUCUAAUCUUGUCUGAUAAUAUACUGAAACUUCCAGACAACCCAGAGAUAUUUGAUGACUAUAAAAUGGUCCUGGCCUAUGAGGGCUUUAACUCAGGAAUACACGAUGAGGUUGGGCACAAUACAGGACAUUUCGUUGGUGUGAUCACAGAGUCUUGCCGGAGGAAGGGAGACUUCAGCAUGUGUAGAGGAUCCUGGGGUGCGUGGUUUUGAAAGGAUAGGUAUUUAACAUAUGUUCUAAUGGUGCCACGUGUUCACAGACUUGAUCGCCUAACCCGUGAGACAGAAACCCAAGAUGGCCAGAGUGCAGCUGGACUGGUACAGAGGAAAGCUGUCAUUCUCUGACCCAGAUAAUAACACACAAAUACACACAUUCACACACACUUUCAUUGAGAGAGUCUUUCCAUACAUCAGGAACCACUUUAUUCUCCAUCCUCUGAAGGUGUUACCUGUGAAGGUCUCUGUUACAGUGGAUACUGCCUCUGUCUGAAUCAGGGAUUAGCAUGUUGAAUGAGUCAGUAACACUUACUGAGGCCCUUCACCUGCUGUAACACUCUCAUCAGUCAAACAAUGAUAACUCAUCUUGUCAACAAACAGCAGACUAACACCUUCAGACUAUUUAGUGAAAAAGGUCACCUAUAAAAUAAUCAUUCACAGGAAGUUGUGGGUGUUAAUUUUUUUUUUUUAAGUGUAUUUGCCAUUGUGAACAUAGGUAACUUGCUGAUAAAAAGUUCUAUAUUGUUUAAAAAGUCUGAGUUGGGAUAGGCUACACAGAUGCCACAUUGUUUCCAAACCAUACAGUUCAAACCAUCCAAUGAUACUUAUCAUGUGUCUUAAUUAAGACUUCAAUUCAAUUCAUGAAGUUAAAAAGACUCCGCUAUCCUUGUCAAGACUGCUCCUCAGCCCUCCUAACACAGAGGAAAGUGGUAGUUGAGCUUGCUUUACACUAGAUGGGGUGAGUGUAUUAAAGUGUAUCAAACAGACACUAGAGGGCAUCGUAGCCUUUCCAUGAGGACAAAGAAACACUGAAUCAGCUGUAUAAAAAAUGAUUAAAUCAUAUGCUGGAGGCUUUGUCCUGUCCUGAAAAGCUAACAAGAGCUGCUAGUAGGCUAAAGGGUCUGGGUUGAAUAACCCUUCGAUUUUGUCAAUCUAGGAUACAUUGCCAUUGGAUUAAAGAAUAUAUGCAGAUUGUUCAAAUAAAUGACUGACUUAAUUAUUUUCCCCAAUAAACUGAGUUCAAAUGGACUUGAUCUUAACCAUGCCUAAACAUGUCAAUAUAAACACUUUGUGCUAAAAUAAGACAAGCCAGAUUCAUGUCUUUCCUAGCAUGCAUGUAGACGCUUAACAGUUUGAUAAGGAAUAGUGGGUGUAUGCUUUGAUGCCGGAUUCCCCUCCUGUCAUUGGUUUGAGACCAAAGCAGCCAAUGAGACUGUUCAGUUAGAUUUCCUCAUGCAGAUACCAACCGCUGCAGUGGAGAGUAACUAAAGGCUUCUAAAUAAUACAGUAGUGUGUGAUGAUGGCAUAUAGGAAGAUUCCUACUACAUCAAGGAAAUCUCAUUCUUAUUCUCCCUCUCUUUCUGCCCCCCAAACACACACACACACACUAGUUGCGACCCGUCAUUCAGGGCAGGUGAGAGCCCCAUCAGUUUUGAGCUCCACCUGUUUUGAGCUCCACCUGUUUUGAGCCCCACAUUUUUAGCAAAAACAAUUACAAAUUGAACAGUCUCAUUGGCUGCUUUGGUCCCAAAUCAAUGAGAGGGCUUGCCUGUUUUGCAUGUUCUUUUGGCAUUAAUACAUGUCACAUAUCAGUUU